rnacentral:lncRNA from 1 species
GUUGUAUGACCCCGUUUUCCAUACCCAGCCAACUUGUCAUGUGACAAGUCCACAGAAAGAUGUUAUAUGACAGGAAUCUAUGAACUAGUCUUCCCUGAAAUGUACCUGACUACAGCUAACAUCAUAUCACAUGAUGAAAGACCGCGUUGUUUUCCCCUGAGGUUGGCAGGACUCCUACUUGUCAGAUGCUCCACCUCCUACAGAGAAGUUCUGUGUCCUUCGUCUUCUGGUGCAUGGUUCCCUUUUAUUUGUGUUGUAAUCUUUGUUAUGCUCUAGAUUGUUUUCUCUGCUGUAUAUUCUAACCCUUUUGUUUACUUUUAAAAAAUGUAUUUAUUUUAAACUUUUAAAUAUUUUAUUAAAAUUUUUUAAAUUUAAGAGACUUUUCCAUUUUCUAAGCUUUUCAUAGCUCACUGCAACCUCCACCUCCCGGAUUCAAGCAAUUCUCCCACCUCAGCCUCCCAAGUAGCUGGGAUUACAGGCACCCGCCACCACGCCUGGCUAAUUUUUGUAUUUUUAGUAAUAACGGGGUUUUGCUAUGUUGGCCAGGCUGCUCUCAAACUCCUGGCCUCAAGUGAUCUGCCCGCUUCGGCCUCCCCAAGUGCUGGGAUUACAUAGCAUUCUAU